rnacentral:vault_RNA from 1 species
GAGCCAUCUCAGCCCAGCAGUUCCAUCGACCAAAGCAUUGCUUAGAUCCCCUAAUUAUUAUUAUUAUAAUCGCUUCCAGCGGUUUGAGACCCGCGGGCGCUGCCUGGCUAUAUA